rnacentral:sRNA from 1 species
CAAAUGGCCAUUGUUUCCUACGGUAAAGAAAAACCUGCAGUAUUGGGUCACGAUGCAGCCGCGUAUGCGAAAAACCGUCGUGCCGUAUUGGUUUAUUAAGAGAGAAGUAUGAGCGGUAAUUUCAGAUAUCACGCAUU